AGAGUUUGAUCCUGGCUCAGAUUGAACGCUGGCGGCAUGCCUUAGCACAUGCAAGUCGAACGGCAGCGCGGGAGUCAAUCCUGGCGGCGAGUGGCGAACGGGUGAGUAUAAUAUCGGAACGUACCUGGGAGUGGGGGAUAACGCAGCGAAAGUUGCGCUAAUACCGCAUACGCUCUUUGGAGGAAAGCGGGGGAUCUUCGGACCUCGUGCUCAUGGAGCGGCCGAUAUCUGAUUAGCUAGUUGGUGGGGUAAAAGCUUACCAAGGCGACGAUCAGUAGCUGGUCUGAGAGGACGACCAGCCACACUGGAACUGAGACACGGUCCAGACUCCUACGGGAGGCAGCAGUGGGGAAUUUUGGACAAUGGGGGCAACCCUGAUCCAGCAAUGCCGCGUGAGUGAAGAAGGCCUUCGGGCUGUAAAGCUCUUUUGUCAGGGAAGAAAAAGUUACGCUCUAACAUAGCGUGACGAUGACGGUACCUGAAGAAUAAGCACCGGCCUAACUACGUGCCAGCAGCCGCGGUAAUACGUAGGGGUGCAAGCGUUAAUCGGAAUAACUGGGCGUAAAGCGUGCGCAAGCGGUUGUGUAAGUUAGAUGUGAAAUCCCGGGGCUAACCCUGGGAAUGGCAUUUGAGACUGC
rnacentral:rRNA from 1 species